rnacentral:rRNA from 1 species
GACAGAGGAUGCAAGCGUUAUCCGGAAUGAUUGGGCGUAAAGCGUCUGUAGGUGGCUUUUUAAGUCUGCCGUCAAAUCCCAGGGCUUAACCCUGGACAGGCGGUGGAAACUACCAAGCUGGAGUACGGUAGGGGCAGAGGGAAUUCCCGGUGUAGCGGUGAAAUGCGCAGAUAUCGGGAGGAACACCAAUUGCGAAGGCAGCUCGCUGGGACGUUACUGACGCUGAGGCGCGAAAGCUAGGGUAGCGAACGGG